UACGUAGGCAGCGAGCGUUGUUCGGAAUUACUGGGCGUAAAGAGUGUGUAGGCGGUGUUCCCAGUCUGUUGUGAAAUCUCCCGGCUUAACUGGGAGGGUGCAGCGGAAACUAGAAUGCUAGAGGGUGGGAGAGGUAAGCGGAAUUCCUGGUGGUAGCGGUGAAAUGCGUAGAUAUCAGGAGGAACACCUGUGGUGUAGACAGCUUACUGGACCACUUCUGACGCUGAGACACGAAAGCGUGGGUAGCAAACGGG
rnacentral:rRNA from 1 species